GUGUUCAGGUAAUCGCUGUUUCUUAACAGAAACAGAGGAAAGUCCAUGCUCGCACAGCCUGUGAUGGCUGUAGUGUUCGCGCCUGGCGAAACCAUAAGCCAGGGCAGCCUGAUAAAGGCUGACGGCAGAAGGAAUGCCUACGUCCGUAUAUCGGAUAUGGCAAACACUUCUUGAAAGUGCCACAGUGACGAAGCUCUGCUGGAAACGGCAGAGGUGGAACGAGGUAAACCCCGCGAGUGAGAAACCCAAAAUUUGGUAGGGGCACUUCUGCAAAGGAAUCAAACGGAGCAGAAGGCACUGCGUUAAGCGGUGCAGACAGAUGAUUACCGCACCGGUACGAGGGUGACUCCCGAUCGCAGUACGGUGUACAGAACAUGGCUUACAGAA
rnacentral:RNase_P_RNA from 1 species